rnacentral:rRNA from 1 species
GAUUCGAUUUAGCCAUGCUAGUCGAACGAGUUCAGACUCGUGGCGAAUAGCUCAGUAACACGUGGCCAAGCUCCCCUUCAGUCAGCGAUACCCUCGGGAAACUGAGGUUAACAGCUGAUACAAAACGCCAGCUGGAAUGCGGCGUUUCAGAAAGACAUCGCUGAAGGAUGCGGCUGCGGCCGAUUAGGUAGACGGUGGGGUAACGGCCCACCGUGCCAGUAAUCGGUACGGGUGAUGAGAGUCAGAGCCCGGAGACGGAAUCUGAGACAAGAUUCCGGGCCCUACGGGGCGCAGCAGGCGCGAAACCUUUACACUGCACGGAAGUGCGAUAGGGGAAUCCCAAGUGCGAGGGCAUAUUAGCCCUCGCUUUUCUCGACUGUAAGGUGGUCGACGAAUAAGAGCUGGGCAAGACCGGUGCCAGCCGCCGCGGUAAUACCGGCAGCUCAAGUGAUGCUCCCAUAUUAUUGGGCCUAAAACGUCCGUUUCU